GUAGGGCGGGACACGUGGUAUCCUGUCUGAAUAUGGGGGGACCAUCCUCCAAGGCUAAAUACUCCUGACUGACCGAUAGUGAACCAGUACCGUGAGGGAAAGGCGAAAAGAACCCCGGCGAGGGGAGUGAAAAAGAACCUGAAACCGUGUACGUACAAGCAGUGGGAGCACAGAGCAAUCUGUGUGACUGCGUACCUUUUGUAUAAUGGGUCAGCGACUUAUAUUCUGUAGCAAGGUUAACCGAAUAGGGGAGCCGAAGGGAAACCGAGUCUUAACUGGGCGUUAAGUUGCAGGGUAUAGACCCGAAACCCGGUGAUCUAGCCAUGGGCAGGUUGAAGGUUGGGUAACACUAACUGGAGGACCGAACCGACUAAUGUUGAAAAAUUAGCGGAUGACUUGUGGCUGGGGGUGAAAGGCCAAUCAAACCGGGAGAUAGCUGGUUCUCCCCGAAAGCUAUUUAGGUAGCGCCUCGUGAAUUCAUCUCCGGGGGUAGAGCACUGUUUCGGCAAGGGGGUCAUCCCGACUUACCAACCCGAUGCAAACUGCGAAUACCGGAGAAUGUUAUCACGGGAGACACACGGCGGGUGCUAACGUCCGUCGUGAAGAGGGAAACAACCCAGACCGCCAGCUAAGGUCCCAAAGUCAUGGUUAAGUGGGAAACGAUGUGGGAAGGCCCAGACAGCCAGGAUGUUGGCUUAGAAGCAGCCAUCAUUUAAAGAAAGCGUAAUAGCUCACUGGUCGAGUCGGCCUGCGCGGAAGAUGUAACGGGGCUAAACCAUGCACCGAAGCUGCGGCAGCGACGCUUAUGCGUUGUUGGGUAGGGGAGCGUUCUGUAAGCCUGCGAAGGUGUGCUGUGAGGCAUGCUGGAGGUAUCAGAAGUGCGAAUGCUGACAUAAGUAACGAUAAAGCGGGUGAAAAGCCCGCUCGCCGGAAGACCAAGGGUUCCUGUCCAACGUUAAUCGGGGCAGGGUGAGUCGACCCCUAAGGCGAGGCCGAAAGGCGUAGUCGAUGGGAAACAGGUUAAUAUUCCUGUACUUGGUGUUACUGCGAAGGGGGGACGGAGAAGGCUAUGUUGGCCGGGCGACGGUUGUCCCGGUUUAAGCGUGUAGGCUGGUUUUCCAGGCAAAUCCGGAAAAUCAAGGCUGAGGCGUGAUGACGAGGCACUACGGUGCUGAAGCAACAAAUGCCCUGCUUCCAGGAAAAGCCUCUAAGCAUCAGGUAACAUCAAAUCGUACCCCAAACCGACACAGGUGGUCAGGUAGAGAAUACCAAGGCGCUUGAGAGAACUCGGGUGAAGGAACUAGGCAAAAUGGUGCCGUAACUUCGGGAGAAGGCACGCUGAUAUGUAGGUGAAGCGACUUGCUCGUGGAGCUGAAAUCAGUCGAAGAUACCAGCUGGCUGCAACUGUUUAUUAAAAACACAGCACUGUGCAAACACGAAAGUGGACGUAUACGGUGUGACGCCUGCCCGGUGCCGGAAGGUUAAUUGAUGGGGUCAGCGCAAGCGAAGCUCUUGAUCGAAGCCCCGGUAAACGGCGGCCGUAACUAUAACGGUCCUAAGGUAGCGAAAUUCCUUGUCGGGUAAGUUCCGACCUGCACGAAUGGCGUAAUGAUGGCCAGGCUGUCUCCACCCGAGACUCAGUGAAAUUGAACUCGCUGUGAAGAUGCAGUGUACCCGCGGCAAGACGGAAAGACCCCGUGAACCUUUACUAUAGCUUGACACUGAACAUUGAGCCUUGAUGUGUAGGAUAGGUGGGAGGCUUUGAAGUGUGGACGCCAGUCUGCAUGGAGCCGACCUUGAAAUACCACCCUUUAAUGUUUGAUGUUCUAACGUGGACCCGUAAUCCGGGUUGCGGACAGUGUCUGGUGGGUAGUUUGACUGGGGCGGUCUCCUCCUAAAGAGUAACGGAGGAGCACGAAGGUUGGCUAAUCCUGGUCGGACAUCAGGAGGUUAGUGCAAUGGCAUAAGCCAGCUUGACUGCGAGCGUGACGGCGCGAGCAGGUGCGAAAGCAGGUCAUAGUGAUCCGGUGGUUCUGAAUGGAAGGGCCAUCGCUCAACGGAUAAAAGGUACUCCGGGGAUAACAGGCUGAUACCGCCCAAGAGUUCAUAUCGACGGCGGUGUUUGGCACCUCGAUGUCGGCUCAUCACAUCCUGGGGCUGAAGUAGGUCCCAAGGGUAUGGCUGUUCGCCAUUUAAAGUGGUACGCGAGCUGGGUUUAGAACGUCGUGAGACAGUUCGGUCCCUAUCUGCCGUGGGCGCUGGAGAACUGAGGGGGGCUGCUCCUAGUACGAGAGGACCGGAGUGGACGCAUCACUGGUGUUCGGGUUGUCAUGCCAAUGGCACUGCCCGGUAGCUAAAUGCGGAAGAGAUAAGUGCUGAAAGCAUCUAAGCACGAAACUUGCCCCGAGAUGAGUUCUCCCUGACUCCUUGAGAGUCCUGAAGGAACGUUGAAGACGACGACGUUGAUAGGCCGAGUGUGUAAGCGCAGCGAUGCGUUGAGCUAACCGGUACUAAUGAACCGUGAGGCUUAACCUUACAACGCCGAAGCUGUU
rnacentral:rRNA from 1 species